rnacentral:lncRNA from 1 species
CGUGGCCAAGCUGAAAGUUUUUUGUUUUAAAAGGCUAAUGAUUUCAUAAAAGCACUAUUUGUAUAGAUUUUUCACAGGAAGGCAGAAGACAUUGCAAAUGAUGCCCUUUCUCCUGAAGAACAAGAAGAAUGCAGAAAUUAUCUGAGAAAGACCAGGGGCUACCUAAUAAAGAUUUUAGAUGACAGUGAUUCAAAUCUUUCAGUGGUCAAGAAAUUGCCUGUGCCUCUGGAGUCUGUAAAAGAGAUGCUUAAGUCAGUCAUGGAGGAACUCAAAGCCUAUAGUGAAGGAGGUCCUCUCUAUAAAAAUGGUUCUUUGCGAAAUGCAGAUUCAGAAAUAAAACAUUCUACACUGUCUCCUACCAAAUAUUCACUAUCACCAAGUAAAAGUUACAAGUAUUCUCCCAAAACACCACCUCGAUCGUCAGAAGAUCAGAAUUCUUUACUGAA